rnacentral:rRNA from 1 species
GAUGAACGCUGGCGGCAUGCCUAAGACAUGCAAGUCGUACGAAGCGGCCCAAUGAUUUAUUUAGAAACACUGAGAGCUUGCUCAAAGUGUGGAAGAAUAAUGAUUUGGAUUUUCCGCUUAGUGGCAAACGGGUGAGUAACACGUGGGUUACCUACCUCCUAGAUGGGGAUACCAAUUGGAAACGAUUGUUAAUACCGAAUGUGAUCUAUGGAUUAAAGAAGCCUUUAAAGCUUCGCUAGGAGAUGGGCCUGCGGUGCAUUAGAUAGUUGGUGGGGUAAUGGCCUACCAAGUCGACGAUGCAUAGCUGAACUGAGAGGUUGAUCGGCACAUUGGGACUGAGACACGGGCCCAAAACGUCCUACGGGAGACAGCAGUUAGGAAUAUUCGUCAAUGGGGAACCCUGACGAGCAAUGCCGCGUGAGGAAGACGGUCUUCGGAUUG